UAAACAGAGAUGGGCACCUCUCUGCUUUGGCCCCUGGACUGAGGUCCUGGGUCCAUGGGGACCUGGAGACUCACCAGCCAGUUCUGGCUGCCCCAGUGUGAGAGGGACUGUGUGUCCAUGAGGGGAUGAGGACUGUGUACAGAGAGGGGAGUCGAGGAGCCUGAGGAUGUUUAGCCUGGGUUGAGGGGCUGAGGAAGCUCUUACCCUCACCGUGACCCUUCAUGUGUUCAUGGCGGAGACCUAGCUCUUUGUGUUCCUGAACAUCAAACUCUGACAUGUGAGUGAGAGCCAAAAGAUGCUAGAUCUGGGCUCAGCAUAAGGGAGACUUGUUUCCUUGUCUACAAGAUGGUGACAAACCGCCUACGUCAAGGGUGGAGGAGGGUGGAUGAGAAAUGCUUUUAAAGCGCUCUUUCCUGCUCCCAGCUCAGAGGAUGUGCUCCCUAGUGGUCAGGAUGCCCCUGGAAGAACUCUUCCACCUGAGGUCCCCAUGCUGCCUGCCCCAGUCCCUGGAGCUCUCAGCAGAGGAGGGACAGUAGCCUCACAAUGGACACAAAAGGGUUUCGGAUCAAGUGGCUUAAGCGUUACCCUCCCACUCCAAGACGACACAAUUCCUGGACUUUAAAGAUAAAGUGGAAGAAAGGCACCACCUGUUUUGAUGCCUGGUGGAGCCACUGAAAGUUCUAGGACCGACUCCAAGAAGGUUGAAGAUGAGCACAACAGUUGAGAAUCCUAAGGGAUCGAUGGAAAACUGGAAAAGGUGGCAUAGAUUCAACUGUACCUGUAGCCUGUACUUUGGACAUCCCUGUUAUGUGAGUAAAUAAAUUCCCCUUUUUGCUUAAGUUAAUUUGAAUUGGAUUUCUGUUCUUAUGACCAGAAGUCCAAACUAAUACAAUCAAUCGUUGGGUAUUCUUAUCUACCUUUUUCACAUCUCCAAAUAUAUUGACUUUCCUUCAUCCCCACUGUAAUAUCUGUCUUAGUAACAGCCUCCCAACCCUGUAAGAAUCAGGCCUUUUGAUUGCUCUGGGGAUAUCCUCCUGCAAGUAAUGAAUCCCAAGUGAUGACUUGCCCAGUCCAAUGGAUUUUGAUGGGGAAGGCUUGGGGCAGCCUGACUUCAGUACACAAUGGCUCUUUCUAGCACAUUUC